UACGAAGGGGGCUAGCGUUGCUCGGAAUCACUGGGCGUAAAGCGCACGUAGGCGGCUUCUUAAGUCAGUGGUGAAAUCCUGGGGCUCAACCCCAGAACUGCCCUUGAUACUGAGGAGCUUGAGUCCGGGAGAGGUGAGUGGAACUCCGAGUGUAGAGGUGAAAUUCGUAGAUAUUCGGAAGAACACCAGUGGCGAAGGCGGCUCACUGGCCCGGUACUGACGCUGAGGUCCGAAGGCGCGGGGAGCAAACAGG
rnacentral:rRNA from 1 species